rnacentral:rRNA from 1 species
AUUGAACGCUGGCGGCAUGCCUUACACAUGCAAGUCGAACGGCAGCACGGGAGCAAUCCUGGUGGCGAGUGGCGAACGGGUGAGUAAUGUAUCGGAACGUACCUUUCAGUGGGGGAUAACGUAGCGAAAGUUACGCUAAUACCGCAUAUUCUGUGAGCAGGAAAGCAGGGGAUCGCAAGACCUUGCGCUGAUUGAGCGGCCGAUAUCAGAUUAGCUAGUUGGUGAGGUAAAGGCUCACCAAGGCGACGAUCUGUAGCGGGUCUGAGAGGAUGAUCCGCCACACUGGAACUGAGACACGGUCCAGACUCCUACGGGAGGCAGCAGUGGGGGAUAUUGGACAAUGGGCGAAAGCCUGAUCCAGCAAUGCCGCGUGUGUGAAGAAGGCCUGAGGGUUGUAAAGCACUUUCAAUCGUGAAGAAAAGUUGCAGGCUAAUACCCUGUGACCUUGACGUUAACGAUACAAGAAGCACCGG